UACGUAGGUGGCAAGCGUUACUCGGAAUCACUAGGCGUAAAGCGCAGGUAGGAGGUUUCGUAAGUCUGUUGUGAAAGCUCCCGGCUUAACUGGGAGAGGUCAACGGAAACUGCUAGGCUGGAGUGCGGUAGAGGUAGCUGGAAUUCCCGGUGUAGCGGUGAAAUGCGUAGAUAUUGGGAGGAACACCAGUGGCGAAGGCGGCUCACUGGACUGGUACUGACGCUGAGGCGCGAAAGCGUGGGGAGCAAACGGG
rnacentral:rRNA from 1 species